rnacentral:rRNA from 1 species
UACGAAGGGGGGCUAGCGUUGUUCGGAUUUACUGGGCGUAAAGCGCACGUAGGCGGGUCGUUAAGUCAGGGGUGAAAUCCCGGAGCUCAACUCCGGAACUGCCUUUGAUACUGGCGACCUUGAGGCUGGAAGAGGUUAGUGGAAUUCCCAGUGUAGAGGUGAAAUUCGUAGAUAUUGGGAAGAACACCAGUGGCGAAGGCGGCUAACUGGUCCAGCACUGACACUGAGGCACGAAAGCGUGGGGAGCAAACAGG